CAGCCCUUGACAUCCCGGUCGCGGUUUCCAGAGAUGGAUUCCUUCAGUUCGGCUGGACCGGUGACAGGUGCUGCAUGGCUGUCGUCAGCUCGUGUCGUGAGAUGUUGGGUUAAGUCCCGCAACGAGCGCAACCCUCGCCCUUAGUUGCCAGCAUUCAGUUGGGCACUCUAAGGGGACUGCCGGUGAUAAGCCGAGAGGAAGGUGGGGAUGACGUCAAGUCCUCAUGGCCCUUACGGGCUGGGCUACACACGUGCUACAAUGGUGGUGACAGUGGGCAGCGAGACGGCAACGUCGAGCUAAUCUCCAAAAACCAUCUCAGUUCGGAUUGGGGUCUGCAACUCGACCCCAUGAAGUUGGAAUCGCUAGUAAUCGCGAUCAG
rnacentral:rRNA from 1 species